rnacentral:rRNA from 1 species
UACGGAGGGGGCUAGCGUUAUUCGGAAUUAUUGGGCGUAAAGGGCGCGUAGGCGGCCCGGUAAGUCAAAGGUGAAAUCCCUCGGCUCAACUGAGGAACUGCCUUUGAAACUGUCGGGCUUGAGGCCGGGAGGGGGUAGCGGAAUUCCCAGUGUAGCGGUGAAAUGCGUAGAUAUUGGGAGGAACACCAGUGGCGAAGGCGACUCGCUGGACCGGAUCUGACGCUGAGGCGCGAAAGCGUGGGUAGCAAACAGG